AAGAGAUUGUUUCUGUCACUGGUUGCUGAUGUUAGAACUGGCAUCAGCGUAAAUCUCAGCAAUAGGCUUGUUUCCCCUUUUGCAACCAAAUAGAGAUCGUCCAGAUUUGAAAAGAUAACAUAUUAAGCAAUUACUUUCAAAUACACAGCGCAGCACAGUGUCCAAACAUUUACACAGAGAGACUCCGGUCUGUCCUUGAGGUCUCCUUCCAAAGAUAAUUAAUAUAAAAAAGCACUUCUAGCACAGCUGUGCAUGUGUGCGUGCAUGCUUGGACAGCAGCUUCAAGCUGAACAAAGCCCAGUAGUUGGUGGGGUGGAGGGUGGGAAGCUCGCAGUUCCUCCUCUGUGCUUCCCUGAGAUAAGAGGGGAGCCGUUCUCAAGGCUCCCGGUGAGGCCUGGGGAUUGAGUUUGGAUCCAGGCCCGGUUCGUGCAGAACUCCCACAGGAGCCUGGAGCUUUUCCCAUGGGCCCCCAAAAUCGCAGCAGAGUUCUUUGGGAUCCUGGUCCAAAAACACAGACAGCCGCGGAUGUUGCAACGCGCGCGGCUCGUUUGGCGCCACGGCGGUCUGCUGUUAUGGCUAGCGGGGAUACCGCCAGCAGCAGCCGAACGAUGGGCAGAGCUCUGCUUCCACUCCGGUAUCAGCCCUCAUCAGCAGCAAUCAGAGCGGUCCGAUAGCGCUAUCAGCAGCUGCAUCGGAUGGAUCCCCCUGCUCUCUCCUGCCUUCUCACACUUCUUCCUACCCUCAUCACCUUCGCUCCUCCUCUUUCUCGUCUUUCCUCCUUCUCACCUCUCUCUCUGCACCUCCUUCUUCUCCUUUACAAAAAUUCCUGCAAUCAAUGUAGUGAUUUAACUUGAAUUUCAGGAAAUUCAAAUUAAGAUGCUUAGAUUGCGUUGUAAUUUAAACUUCAUCAAGUUUUGCGUGGCGCCCUGAUGUUUGGUUGCCAGCAGAGGGUUCAAAAGCAGGUACGAGAUCUCUUUAUAAAUUUAUUUUUAUUUGUGUCCGGUCGGCAGUGUAGCACUCAGAAUUACUGUCAGAGUACCAAGCUGAACCCAACAGAUUUGCUUUCACAAGUGGAGGGUUACAGCUGUGAUGCUCUGCAUCUGGAAAGUAUUCACAGCACUUCAUUUUUACAAAGUUUUUGCUAUAAUCUUAUUCCAAAUUGUACUGAAUUGAAAUUUUUAUCAGAAUUCUAGACACAAAUCCUAAUCUUGACAACUUGGACAAACAUUUAUGUCACAUUUGUGUCAUCAUUGUGCCAGCUCUUUAGAAAGGCCCUCUAAAGCAUAACCUAAGAAAAAUUUUAGAAAAGUUGCUAUACCCUCAUGAGGUGGCUGUGGCUGUUUCUUUAUGUUAUUUCUGGAUUCUAUUAUUUUUUGAGUGUUAAUACAAAUUGUAUGAAAAUAAACACUUUCCUCAAAGUUUUACAUGCAAAUAUCCCGUUAUGUUAAUGUGGAAGGUUUUUUUAGUGUUUUAAAAUUGUAUUAAAAAUAGCAAACCAAGAAAUGAAAUUUGUGUAAUUAUUCAGAGCCUCCAUGAAGCUCAGGUCAGGGGUUGAGGAGUAAAAUAAAAUUGAGCUACGAUAACACAAAAAAAAGUUAUCAUAUAUUCUGUCUGCUAUUUAUAAUGGUGUUAAAAUAUUUUAACAUUUCUUUCCAUUAAAUGUAAUUUCUCUAAUUUCUCCA